GCAACUCCUCCUCUUCCGAGCGGGGUCACGAUACCGCCGGCGGGAUCCGGGUUUCCGAGAGUGAGGGCUGCUCGGCGGGUCAGGGCGGCCACGGGCUGGAGCCAUGACCUCGAACCUGCGCACCGCGCUCAUUUUCGGCGGCUUCAUCUCCCUGAUCGGCGCCGCCUUCUACCCCAUCUACUUCCGGCCCCUAAUGCGGCUGGAGGAAUACCAUGGGGAAACUGAGGCUCAGCGAGGUUGUUCAACAUGCCCCAGGACACACAGCUAAGAAGGAACAAGCCAUAAAUCGAGCUGGUAUUGUCCAAGAAGACGUGCAGCCACCAGGGUUAAAAGUGUGGUCGGAUCCAUUUGGCAGGAAAUAAAAAGGCUAUCACCACCUCUGAUUAUGAAAGUAGAGAGUCUUCAUGCUUUCAGUUCUGCAGCAAGUACAAUAAAUCACCUGGCUAAAGAAUGAUGGCUGGAGAAGAAAACUCUAGAAGGCUGUAAAGAAGAGUAGUGUGCACCAGGAUUAAUUCCCUUCUUAAGUAUCAAAAGAACCCUGAAACAAAUCACACCAUUACGAAGGUUUUCAUGAUUUGGUUUCCUUUCUAAAAAUGAAACUUUCUCACCCAGCUGCAUUUGGAGGUGAUCUACUUAUUAUUCAGUCUCUACCUCUUACCCACCUGAGCUGUGAUAUGAAUACAAGCAACCAGUAGACUUGGGAAGAUCCUAGUCUGUUUUGCCAUCUUCCAAAUAAGAAGUUUCAGUGAAAACCCACCAUAUUGAGCAGCCUCAUAGGGGGUCUUUGAAAACGUUAAAGUUGAUAAAACUCUUUGGGGACAAGGUACAUUGUACUCUUUAAGAAUAAAGAGUUCAACUCAGCUAUCUCAUUGGGAGGGUUGCUGCAUUUUGAAAAAUAAAUAACUAUGAAGCAAAUCAAACUAAAUAGGUAUGCAUGCCUAGUAGAAAUCAUGUUGAAUUAACUGAGUGAAAAUGUGUAUAUUAAAAUGAUUUCUUUUUACUU